GAAAGAUCGAUCGCGAUCCUUCACGUUGUUCUCUUUUGAUAGACCAUAGUAACAGUCGUCUGCCGUGAUUUGCUGGGACAUUCACGACGAGGCUUGCAAAUAUAUCGAACUCGAUUCUUCUUAAGAAAAAAACUUUUAUUACAUUUUAAAGGAGACAUUAUUUUGAUAAAACGAACUGCUAAAAAUUUAAUUAAGACAAAGAACAAAAUGAGUUUCAAAAUAAGCUUGUUAUUCGUACUUGCUAUCUUCAGUAUGUUUAGGCAUGAAACGUUCGCAUCUUGGUUUCGCAACAGUUGGAGGAUGCCUGAAGAAUGUUUCAAUAGAUUGGACUAUGGUAAUUGCACUGACUAUGUUGGCUAUGUUGAAAGUACGCGCUUUUGGUAUAACGUGACCAAUGGAACAUGUUCACCUUUUAAAUACGCGGGUUGCAGAGGAAAUAGUAAUAAUUUUUAUACUUAUACAAAUUGCAUAUAUGCAUGUCGUGACUCAAUAGUAUCCGAUAGAAAUUUCACAAUUGAUGAGUACGUGUAAUAGUUUAAUAUUGAAAUAGUUUGGUCUUUAAGUAGAAAUACCAAAUAAACUCUAUUAAAUCUUUAUAUAAUAUUUGUAAAAGUGUUUUAUUUUUAUAUAAUAAAAACAUAAUAAAUGAC